rnacentral:rRNA from 1 species
AGCGAACGCUGGCGGCAGGCCUAACACAUGCAAGUCGAGCGCCCAGCAAUGGGAGCGGCAGACGGGUGAGUAACGCGUGGGGAUGUGCCCAAUGGUGCGGAAUAACCCAGGGAACUUGGAUUAAUACCGCAUGUGCCCUUCGGGGGAAAGAUUUAUCGCCAUUGGAUCAACCCGCGUCUGAUUAGCUAGUUGGUGAGGUAAAGGCUCACCAAGGCGACGAUCAGUAGCUGGUCUGAGAGGAUGAUCAGCCACACUGGGACUGAGACACGGCCCAGACUCCUACGGGAGGCAGCAGUGGGGAAUAUUGGACAAUGGGCGCAAGCCUGAUCCAGCCAUGCCGCGUGAGUGAUGAAGGCCUUAGGGUUGUAAAGCUCUUUCGCCGGUGAAGAUAAUGACGGUAACCGGAGAAGAAGCCCCGGCUAACUUCGUGCCAGCAGCCGCAGUAA